rnacentral:rRNA from 1 species
ACGGAUAUCUUGGCUCCUGCAACGAUGAAGAACGCAGCGAAAUGCGAUACCUAGUGUGAAUUGCAGAAUUCCGCGAAUCAUCGAGUUUUUGAACGCAAGUUGCACCCGAGGCUCAUACCGAGGGCAUGUCUGUCUGAGCGUCCA